rnacentral:rRNA from 1 species
AUUGAACGCUGGCGGCAGGCCUAACACAUGCAAGUCGAGCGGAGCGGCGGACGGGGAAGUAAGGCCUAGGACUCUGCAUGGUAGUGGGGGAUAACGUCAGGAAACGGGCACUAAUGCCGCAUACUAUCAGAUGAGCCUAGGUCGGAUUAGCUAGUUGGUGGGGUAAAGGCAUACCAAGGCGACGAUCCGUAACUGGUCUGAGAGGAUGAGCAGGCACACUGGAACUGAGACACGGUCCAGACGCCUACGGGAGGCAGCAGUGGGGAAUAUUGGACAAUGGGCGAAAGCCUGAUCCAGCCAUGCCGCGUGUGUGAAGAAGGUCUUCGGAUUGUAAAGCACUUUAAGUUGGGAGGCGUUACCAACAGAAUAAGCACCGGCUAACUCCGUGCCAGCAGCCGCGGUAAUUC